rnacentral:rRNA from 1 species
UACAGAGGUCUCAAGCGUUUGUUCGGAUUCAUUGGGCGUAAAGGGUGUGUAGGUGGCGCCGUAAGUCGGGUGUGAAAUUUCGAGGCUUAACUUCGAAACUGCAUUCGAUACUGCCGUGCUUGAGGACUGGAGAGGAGACUGGAAUUUACGGUGUAGCGGUGAAAUGCGUAGAUAUCGUAAGGAAGACCAGUGGCGAAGGCGGUCUCUG